AGAGUUUGAUCAUGGCUCAGAUUGAACGCUGGCGGCAGGCCUAACACAUGCAAGUCGAACGGUAACAGGAAACAGCUUGCUGUUUCGCUGACGAGUGGCGGACGGGUGAGUAAUGUCUGGGAAACUGCCUGAUGGAGGGGGAUAACUACUGGAAACGGUAGCUAAUACCGCAUAACGUCGCAAGACCAAAGAGGGGGACCUUCGGGCCUCUUGCCAUCAGAUGUGCCCAGAUGGGAUUAGCUAGUAGGUGGGGUAACGGCUCACCUAGGCGACGAUCCCUAGCUGGUCUGAGAGGAUGACCAGCCACACUGGAACUGAGACACGGUCCAGACUCCUACGGGAGGCAGCAGUGGGGAAUAUUGCACAAUGGGCGCAAGCCUGAUGCAGCCAUGCCGCGUGUAUGAAGAAGGCCUUCGGGUUGUAAAGUACUUUCAGCGGGGAGGAAGGGAGUAAAGUUAAUACCUUUGCUCAUUGACGUUACCCGCAGAAGAAGCACCGGCUAACUCCGUGCCAGCAGCCGCGGUAAUACGGAGGGUGCAAGCGUUAAUCGGAAUUACUGGGCGUAAAGCGCACGCAGGCGGUUUGUUAAGUCAGAUGUGAAAUCCCCGGGCUCAACCUGGGAACUGCAUCUGAUACUGGCAAGCUUGAGUCUCGUAGAGGGGGGUAGAAUUCCAGGUGUAGCGGUGAAAUGCGUAGAGAUCUGGAGGAAUACCGGUGGCGAAGGCGGCCCCCUGGACGAAGACUGACGCUCAGGUGCGAAAGCGUGGGGAGCAAACAGGAUUAGAUACCCUGGUAGUCCACGCCGUAAACGAUGUCGACUUGGAGGUUGUGCCCUUGAGGCGUGGCUUCCGGAGCUAACGCGUUAAGUCGACCGCCUGGGGAGUACGGCCGCAAGGUUAAAACUCAAAUGAAUUGACGGGGGCCCGCACAAGCGGUGGAGCAUGUGGUUUAAUUCGAUGCAACGCGAAGAACCUUACCUGGUCUUGACAUCCACGGAAGUUUUCAGAGAUGAGAAUGUGCCUUCGGGAACCGUGAGACAGGUGCUGCAUGGCUGUCGUCAGCUCGUGUUGUGAAAUGUUGGGUUAAGUCCCGCAACGAGCGCAACCCUUAUCCUUUGUUGCCAGCGGUCCGGCCGGGAACUCAAAGGAGACUGCCAGUGAUAAACUGGAGGAAGGUGGGGAUGACGUCAAGUCAUCAUGGCCCUUACGACCAGGGCUAUACACGUGCUACAAUGGCGCAUACAAAGAGAAGCGACCUCGCGAGAGCAAGCGGACCUCAUAAAGUGCGUCGUAGUCCGGAUUGGAGUCUGCAACUCGACUCCAUGAAGUCGGAAUCGCUAGUAAUCGUGGAUCAGAAUGCCACGGUGAAUACGUUCCCGGGCCUUGUACACACCGCCCGUCACACCAUGGGAGUGGGUUGCAAAAGAAGUAGGUAGCUUAACCUUCGGGAGGGCGCUUACCACUUUGUGAUUCAUGACUGGGGUGAAGUCGUAACAAGGUAACCGUAGGGGAACCUGCGGUUG
rnacentral:rRNA from 1 species